GAUGAACGCUGGCGGCGUGCCUAAUACAUGCAAGUCGAGCGAACAGAUCAGGAGCUUGCUCCUUUGACGUUAGCGGCGGACGGGUGAGUUACACGUGGAUAACCUACCUAUAAGACUGGGAUAACUUCGGGAAACCGGAGCUAAUACCGGAUAACAUAUUGAACCGCAUGGUUCCAUAGUGAAAGGCGGCUUUGCUGUCACUUAUAGAUGGAUCCGCGCCGUAUUAGCUAGUUGGUACGGUAACGGCUUACCAAGGCAACGAUACGUAGCCGACCUGAGAGGGUGGUCGGCCACACUGGAACUGAGACACGGUCCAGACUCCUACGGGAGGCAGCGGUAGGGAAUCUUCCGCAAAGGGCGAAAGCCUGACGGAGGAACGCCGCGUGAGUGAUGAAGGUCUUCGGAUCGUAAAACUCUGUUAUCAGGGAAGAACAAAUGUGUAAGUAACUGUGCACAUCGUGACGGUACCUGAUCAGAAAGCCACGGCUAACUACGUG
rnacentral:rRNA from 1 species